UGGGGAAUAUUGGACAAUGGGGGGAACCCUGAUCCAGCCAUGCCGCGUGUGUGAAGAAGGCCUUAUGGUUGUAAAGCACNNAAGCGAGGAGGAGGCUCUCUUGGUUAAUACCCAAGAUGAGUGGACGUUACUCGCAGAAUAAGCACCGGCUAACUCUGUGCCAGCAGCCGCGGUAAUACAGAGGGUGCGAGCGUUAAUCGGAUUUACUGGGCGUAAAGCGUGCGUAGGCGGCUUUUUAAGUCGGAUGUGAAAUCCCCGAGCUUAACUUGGGAAUUGCAUUCGAUACUGGGAAGCUAGAGUAUGGGAGAGGAUGGUAGAAUUCCAGGUGUAGCGGUGAAAUGCGUAGAGAUCUGGAGGAAUACCGAUGGCGAGCGAAGGCAGCCAUCUGGCCUAAUACUGACGCUGAGGUACGAAAGCAUGGGGAGCAAACAGGAUUAGAUACCCUGGUAGUCCAUGCCGUAAACGAUGUCUACUAGCCGUUGGGGCCUUUGAGGCUUUAGUGGCGCAGCUAACGCGAUAAGUAGACCGCCUGGGGAGUACGGUCGCAAGACUA
rnacentral:rRNA from 1 species